GAUGGGCCCGCGGCGCAUUAGCUUGUUGGUGGGGUAACGGCCUACCAAGGCGACGAUGCGUAGCUGGUCUGAGAGGACGAUCAGCNANANNNNNNCUNAGACACGGCCCAGACUCCUACGGGAGGCAGCAGUGGGGAAUCUUGCGCAAUGCGCGAAAGCGUGACGCAGCAACGCCGCGUGGGGGAAGAAGGCCUUCGGGUUGUAAACCUCUUUCAGUUGGGACGAAGCCUCGUGGGUUAAUAGCCUGCUGAGGUGACGGUACCUUCAGAAGAAGCCCCGGCUAACUACGUGCCAGCAGCCGCGGUAAUACGUAGGGGGCAAGCGUUGUCCGGAAUCAUUGGGCGUAAAGAGCGUGUAGGCGGCCCGGUAAGUCCGCUGUGAAAGUCCAGGGCUCAACCCUGGAAUGCCGGUGGAUACUGUCGGGCUCGAGUCCGGAAGAGGUGAGUGGAAUUCCUGGUGUAGCGGUGAAAUGCGCAGAUAUCAGGAAGAACACCAAUGGCGAAAGCAGCUCUCUGGGACGGUACUGACGCUGAGACGCGAAAGCGUGGGGAGCGAACAGGAUUAGAUACCCUGGUAGUCCACGCCGUAAACGAUGGGCGCUAGGUGU
rnacentral:rRNA from 1 species